UGGCUCAGAUUGAACGCUGGCGGCAGGCCAACACAUGCAAGUCGAGCGGAAACGAGUUGUUUGAACCUUCGGGGGACGACAACGGCGUCGAGCGGCGGACGGGUGAGUAAUGCCUGGGAAAUUGCCCUGAUGUGGGGGAUACCAUUGGAAACGAUGGCUAAUACCGCAUGAUAGCUUCGGCUCAAAGAGGGGGACCUUCGGGCCUCUCGCGUUAGGAUAUGCCCAGGUGGGAUUAGCUAGUUGGUGAGGUAAGGGCUCACCAAGGCGACGAUCCCUAGCUGGUCUGAGAGGAUGAUCAGCCACACUGGAACUGAGACACGGUCCAGACUCCUACGGGAGGCAGCAGUGGGGAAUAUUGCACAAUGGGCGCAAGCCUGAUGCAGCCAUGCCGCGUGUAUGAAGAAGGCCUUCGGGUUGUAAAGUACUUUCAGCAGUGAGGAAGAUGGUGUGCUUAAUACGCACAUCAUUUGACGUUAGCUGCAGAAGAAGCGCCGGCUAACUCCGUGCCAGCAGCCGCGGUAAUACGGAGGGUGCGAGCGUUAAUCGGAAUUACUGGGCGUAAAGCGCAUGCAGGUGGUUUGUUAAGUCAGAUGUGAAAGCCCGGGGCUCAACCUUGGAACUGCAUCACAUACUGCCAGGCUAGAGUACUGUAGAGGGGGGUAGAAUUUCA
rnacentral:rRNA from 1 species